rnacentral:rRNA from 1 species
UCAAGUAAAGGAAGAGCACAAGGUGGAUGCCUUGGCAGCUGAAGGCGAUGAAGGACGUGGUAACCUGCGAUAAGCUUCGGGGAGCUGGUAAACAAGCUUCGAUCCGGAGAUGUCCGAAUGGGAAAACCCAGUAUGCAUAAGCAUAUUAUCCUAUUUUGAAUUCAUAGAAAUAGGAGGCUAACCUAGGGAACUGAAACAUCUAAGUACCUAGAGGAAAAGAAAUCAAUUGAGAUUCUGUUAGUAGCGGCGAGCGAACGCGGAACAGCCCUUAAGCUUGUUUUAAUUUAGCAAAACAUUCUGGAAAGUUUGGCCAUAGUAGGUGAUAGCCCUGUAUGCGAAAAGUUAAUUCAAGUGAAAACGAGUAGGUCGGGACACGUGAAAUCUUGACUGAAUAUGGGGGGACCAUCCUCCAAGGCUAAAUACUCUCAGCUGACCGAUAGUGAACCAGUACCGUGAGGGAAAGGCGAAAAGAACCCCGGCUAGGGGAGUGAAAUAGAACCUGAAACCUUGUGCUUACAAGCAGUCGGAGCUCACUUGUUGGGUGACGGCGUACCUUUUGUAUAAUGGGUCAACGACUUAAUUUCAGUAGCAAGCUUAACUCUAUAAGGUAGGCGCAGGGAAACCGAGUCUUAACUGGGCGUUCAGUUGCUGGAAUUAGACCCGAAACCGAGUGAUCUAUCCAUGGCCAGGGUGAAGGUUAGGUAACACUGACUGGAGGCCCGAACCCACUUAUGUUGAAAAAUGAGGGGAUGAGCUGUGGAUAGGAGUGAAAGGCUAAUCAAACUCGGAGAUAGCUGGUUCUCUUCGAAAACUAUUUUAGGUAGUGCCUCAUGUAUUACCAUUGGGGGUAGAGCACUGUUUCGGCUAGGGGGUCAUCCCGACUUACCAAACCGAUGCAAACUCCGAAUACCAAUGAGUAUGAGCAUGGGAGACAGACUGCGGGUGCUAACGUCCGUAGUCGAGAGGGAAACAACCCAGACCGUCAGCUAAGGUCCCUAAUCAUGAUUAAGUGGGAAACAAUGUGGGAAGGCACAAACAGCUAGGAGGUUGGCUUAGAAGCAGCCAUCCUUUAAAGAAAGCGUAACAGCUCACUAGUCGAGUCGGCCUGCGUGGAAGAUAUAACGGGGCUAAAUCAUGAACCGAAGCUACGGAUCUUCAUUGAAGAUGGUAGAAGAGCGUUCCGUAAGCUGUUGAAGGUGUACCGUGAGGUAUGCUGGAGGUAUCGGAAGUGCGAAUGUUGACAUGAGUAACGAUCAAAGGGGUGAAAAACCCCUUCGCCGAAAAACUAAGGGUUCCUGUCCAACGCUAAUCGAGGCAGGGUGAGUCGGCUCCUAAGGCGAGGGCGAAAGCCGUAGUCGAUGGGAAACAGGUUAAUAUUCCUGUACUUUUUAUAACUGCGAUGGGGUGACGGAGAAGGUUAGGCUAGCACGGCGCUGGUUGUCCGUGUUUAAGGUUGUAGGUUGGUAGUUUUGGUAAAUCCGGACUACUAAGACUGAGAGCUGAUGACGAUUAACUAAUGUUAAGAAGUAGCUAAUACCAUGCUUCCAGGAAAAACCUCUAAGCUUCAGGUUAUAAGAAACCGUACCCGAAACCGACACAGGUGGUUAGGUAGAGAAUACCAAGGUGUUUGAGAGAACUUGGGUGAAGGAACUAGGCAAAAUGACACCGUAACUUCGGGAGAAGGUGUGCCGUAGUUAGUGAUUAGACUUGCUCUAUGAGCUGAUUAUGGUCGAAGAUACCAGGUGGCUGCGACUGUUUACUAAAAACAUAGCACUCUGCAAACUCGUAAGAGGACGUAUAGGGUGUGACGCCUGCCCGGUGCCGGAAGGUUAAUUGAUGGAGUUAGCUUCGGCAAAGCUCUUGAUCGAAGCCCCGGUAAACGGCGGCCGUAACUAUAACGGUCCUAAGGUAGCGAAAUUCCUUGUCGGGUAAGUUCCGACCUGCACGAAUGGCGUAACGAUGGCCACACUGUCUCCACCCAAGACUCAGUGAAAUUGAAAUCGCUGUUAAGAUGCAGUGUACCCGCAGCUAGACGGAAAGACCCCGUGCACCUUUACUACAGGUUCACACUGGACUUUGACUUUAUUUGUGUAGGAUAGGUGGGAGACUUUGAAGCUAAGACGCUAGUCUUAGUGGAGUCGUCCUUGAAAUACCACCCUUGUAAAAUUGAGG